GGCGGACGGGUGAGUAACGCGUGGGUAACCUGCCUCACACUGGGGGAGUAACAGUUAGAAAUAGCUGCUAAUACCGCAUAAGCGCACAGUUCCGCAUGGAACAGUGUGAAAAACUCCGGUGGUGUGAGAUGGACCCGCGUCUGAUUAGCCAGUUGGCGGGGUAACGGCCCACCAAAGCGACGAUCAGUAGCCGGCCUGAGAGGGUGAACGGCCACAUUGGGACUGAGACACGGCCCAAACUCCUACGGAGGCAGCAUG
rnacentral:rRNA from 1 species